GUCCCAUAAAACACUGUAAAUAACAAGUCCCAAAAUGUCCUUGGAGUUCACCUAACGCGUUUCGGCAUAAAAGCCUUCAUCAGAGGUGCUGUAACUGUUCCAGGCGUGAAGCUUCUUAUAUAUCCAUAUUGGCGCCAAAUUUCCGCCGUAUUCGCGGCAUUGUACUUCCGGGUGUGACGUAAAAACGUGUCCUGCGUCAUCACGUGAUCGCGUCACUUCCGGUUCACUCGAAAUGACGUGCAACAACCGUCAUAAUAUAAACAAGGGUAUUCUAAACGGCACACAACAUGAAUAGGCUAAAAACUGAAGAAAUAACCAAGAAAUAAAUAAUAAAACAAAAAUAAUAAAAAUACAUAUAUCAUAUCGAUCCCAAA